rnacentral:rRNA from 1 species
CCUACGGGCCGCAGCAGUGGGGAAUAUUGCACAAUGGGCGCAAGCCUGAUGCAGCCAUGCCGCGUGUGUGAAGAAGGCCUUCGGGUUGUAAAGCACUUUCAGCGGGGAGGAAGGCGAUAAGGUUAAUAACCUUGUCGAUUGACGUUACCCGCAGAAGAAGCACCGGCUAACUCCGUGCCAGCAGCCGCGGUAAUACGGAGGGUGCAAGCAUUAAUCGGAAUUACUGGGCGUAAAGCGCACGCAGGCGGUCUGUCAAGUCGGAUGUGAAAUCCCCGGGCUCAACCUGGGAACUGCAUCUGAUACUGGCAAGCUUGAGUCUCGUAGAGGGGGGUAGAAUUCCAGGUGUAGCGGUGAAAUGCGUAGAGAUCUGGAGGAAUACCGGUGGCGAAGGCGGCCCCCUGGACGAAGACUGACGCUCAGGUGCGAAAGCGUGGGGAGCAAACAGGAUUAGAUACCCCCGUAGUC